ensembl:lncRNA
CAAAUGACUUCCACCAUGCUGAUGAUUGAGGAAAAUAAAGCUCUAAAAAAUCCUGGUAAUGCUCAGCUUGCACAGCUAAAGCUCAGCUUGUCGCCAGUGUGCAAAGCCUCACCUGGGGAAAGCCUGUUCCUGAAUACCACAGGUCCAUGUGUAAAUUCAGAAGAAAUUGUUCCUGCAUCUCUGAGCUCAGAAAAGGAAAUUAUUCCUCAAAGUCCAGAAGAAAAGAAUAUUUUUAAGCCCCCAUGUGACAGACAAGAAAUCUGCUCCAUUGUUAGACUGUCACCACACCAGAGGCCUUCCAGGCUGCAGCAAGUUCCAGUUAUCAGGAAAGGGUUCUCCCUUCCCAAAGGAGUGCCUGAAGAUACUAUUACAAGUACCAAAAAUUGGAUCUGCUGUGAACAGAGAUGAGAUUUCUGGGUCUCAGCAGGAGUCAACAGAAGAAAUGACCAUCUUGUUGCUGGAACAGAACUAACAAAUGGCUGGUGGUUUUUUUCUUGUUUGCACAUACAUUGUUUGAAAUUUGGUAUUAUGUGUUCAGUAAGCUUGUAAGUACUUUACUCAAGUACUUAACAUUAAAUUAUGUUGUACAGCAACUAGAUCCUAUUCUGGGCAUCAUUCUGCAAGGACUCCAUAAAGAUGAUUCUUGAAUUUGCUUAGAUUUUUAGAAAGCACGACUCAAGAACAGCAGACCAAAUUAAUUAUGGAGUUAUAUUUGGCUCUUGCUCUGCCAGGAUUUCUUGUUUUCUCUAGUAGCAUUAGCAUUUAAAGAUGUGACCUCUGUUUAAGUGUUAAUACAGGUUAUGGGGGUGGGUGUGAAAGCAUUCAUGUUCUCUCAGGGACCCAGAAGUCAAUAGUAUGCUGCCGUUAAACUCCCUGAAUGCUUAGGUCUGCAGAACUUUGGAGGUGCAGGACUGUAUGUUCUGCUGUAAAUUGAUUUUUUAACCAUGAAUAUAGGUCAUCAUCACCCUGCCAUCACUGUGAGCUGGCUCUUAGUGAUCAGCAUUGUCACCAUUCUGGGCACAUCCACUGCCCAGCCACUGGCACCUCUGAGUCCUUCCUGUUCCAUCUCACCUGUUCUGUAGCAUCAUAACUCUCAGUCACUGUUUCUUCUACUGCCUUCAGACUUAGAAGCAGCAGAUGCCUUCCAUGAAUACAAGGUGGGAAAAACCCUUUUAUAGCUGAAUUGUGUGAAGAGCUGGAUAUUGGCAUUCUGGAUUUUCAGGUUACUGUUCACACUAUGUCCACAUAAUUUCCACUUCAGCUUGUGGAUUGUUAAUUCUUAAAUGUCAUUCUUAGUGUGCCAAGUGCCUCAGAAAACACUCUCAAGAGCACAGUUUUCUCCAGCUGAAUUCACUGCAGGUUAAAGUUAUUUGGAUCCCUACAGAGUUCUCACUACAACACCCUGACUCUUUUCUGGACAAAAAGGGAAGUUUUUUGAUGUUUCAAAAUGCCAGUAUGGCUUUCAAAAGUCUGUUUCUCAGUGUUAUCACUCUGGAAAAUAGUUUUGUAUUUCCAAAAAGAGCAUGCCAAGAAAACAUACAAACUCCACAACUUUAGUUUGACUAUGUUUGAAUAACCUGUGAAAGUUUGAACCCUGAGCCUUUCCCCAUUGCUCUGGGGCAGAAGGAAGUGCAAAUAAAUGAUGCUGGAUUAGUCUAUGAAGAAGUAUU